UAUCUCAGAGAUAUAGUAAUCCAAAACCAUAUGAUAUAGAUCCAGCUAUAAAACCUAUUAAUAAACCUUUCACAAAAAUGAUACCUCCAUCACAAAACCCCAUUGAGAUAGUAACACUAAAUCCAAAGACAGAAUUACAGGACAUGUCAAAAUUAUUACAAAAAAUAAUAAGUGAACAAAAUACGUCUCCAAACACUAGCACAACUGGAGGAAUAAAAAUAAAAGAACCUACACAAAGUAAGAUACCAAGUGAAAGUAUUAGCAAAGAUAAAAAUAAAAUAACCAUUCUAACCGAAUAU
rnacentral:lncRNA from 1 species